AUUGAACGCUGGCGGCAUGCCUUACACGUGCAAGUCGAACGGUAACAGGUUAAGCUGACGAGUGGCGAACGGGUGAGUAAUGUAUCGGAACGUGCCCAGUCGUGGGGGAUAACUGCUCGAAAGAGCAGCUAAUACCGCAUACGACCUGAGGGUGAAAGCGGGGGAUCGCAAGACCUCGCGCGAUUGGAGCGGCCGAUAUCAGAUUAGGUAGUUGGUGAGGUAAAGGCUCACCAAGCCGACGAUCUGUAGCUGGUCUGAGAGGACGACCAGCCACACUGGGACUGAGACACGGCCCAGACUCCUACGGGAGGCAGCAGUGGGGAAUUUUGGACAAUGGGCGCAAGCCUGAUCCAGCCAUGCCGCGUGCGGGAAGAAGGCCUUCGGGUUGUAAACCGCUUUUGUCAGGGAAGAAAAGGUUCUGGCUAAUACCUGGGACUCAUGACGGUACCUGAAGAAUAAGCACCAGCUAACUACGUGCCAGCCGCCGCAGUAAGAC
rnacentral:rRNA from 1 species